rnacentral:rRNA from 1 species
CCAGACUCCUACGGGAGGCAGCAGUGGGGAAUAUUGGACAAUGGGGGGAACCCUGAUCCAGCGACGCCGCGUGAGUGAAGAAGUAUUUCGGUAUGUAAAGCUCUAUCAGCAGGGAAGAAGAAAUGACGGUACCUGACUAAGAAGCCCCGGCUAACUACGUGCCAGCAGCCGCGGUAAUACGUGGGGGGCAAGCGUUAUCCGGAUUUACUGGGUGUAAAGGGAGCGUAGACGGCAGUGCAAGUCUGAAGUGAAAGCCCCGGGCUUAACCCGGGAACUGCUUUGGAAACUGUACGGCUGGAGUGCUGGAGAGGUAAGCGGAAUUCCUAGUGUAGCGGUGAAAUGCGUAGAUAUUAGGAGGAACACCAGUGGCGAAGGCGGCUUACUGGACAGUAACUGACGUUGAGGCUCGAAAGCGUGGGGAGCAAACAGGAUUAGAUACCCCUGUAG